CAGAUGUUUUAAAUUAGAUCGUGAGUUUAUUAUGUACAGCUCACUGUGGAAGACUUGAAGACUCACUGAAACUCACGGAGACCGUUUGGUUACUUUCCAGGAAUCAGAAUGACUUGUGGGAUACAUGAUGUUCUUCUCUGUUUUUAAAAGAAGGAAGGUUACAGAUACAUGUGUUUUCCCCAGGGCUUUAUAGGGCUUUAUAGGGCUUUAUAGGGCGUUAUAGGGCUUUAUAGGGCUUUAUAGGGCUUUAUAGGGCUUUAUAGGGAUGUAUAGGGCUUCACAGGGCUUCACAGGGCUUUAUAGGGCUUUAUGGGGCUUUAUGGGGCUUUAUAGGGCUUUACAGGGCUAUAUAUGGCUUUAUAGGGCUUUACAGGGCUAUAUAUGGCUUUACAGGGCUUUAUAGGGCUUUAUAGGGAUGUAUACAUUUAUAUGGCUUUCUACUGUCAUCACUGCUGGUCUUUCUACCAGCUUGACUCUGUUAGGUCUUUAGUGUAGAGAAUCAUUGUACCAUCUAAACCGCUGUGAAAUAAAUAUUUUUCCUGACAAAAAUAUUGUACUUUCAGCUGUUUGAAGCUGGUGUUACAAAAACCGAAAGUCGGAUGCUAAAAUCAAAACUUAAUGGAAGCAUAGAAAUAGUGCACAUAGAACAGAUCUACCUCUCCUUAGACUUGAUUUCAGUGAGAAUGACCGAUCUAUAACGCAGACAUCUUGGUGAAUUAGUUUGGGUCACACAUAAAGUAACACCAUGCAGCUUUAAGUUCCCACACAUGGUUUUCCAGUGGUCUAACAGACAGGAGGUAUUGUUUUAUAUUAGUCAGGGGUCUAACAGGAGGUAUUGUUUUAUAUUAGUCAGUGAUCUAACAGACAGGAGGUAUUGUUUUAUAUUAGUCAGGGGUCUAACAGGAGGUAUUGUUUUAUAUUAGUCAGGGGUCUAACAGGAGGUAUUGUUUUAUAUUAGUCAGGGGUCUAACAGACAGGAGGUAUUGUUUUAUAUUAGUCAGGGGUCUAACAAACAGGAGGUAUUGUUUUAUAUUAGUCAGGGGUCUAACAGGAGGUAUUGUUUUAUAUUAGUCAGGGGUCUAACAGGAGGUAUUGUUUUAUAUUAGUCAGGGGUCUAACAGACAGGAGGUAUUGUUUUAUAUUAGUCAGUGGUCUAACAGACAGGAGGUAUUGUUUUAUAUUAGUCAGGGGUCUAACAGACAGGAGGUAUUGUUUUAUAUUAGUCAGGGGUCUAACAGACAGGAGGUAUUGUUUUAUAUUAGUCAGGGGUCUAACAGACAGGAGGUAUUGUUUUAUAUUAGUCAGGGGUCUAACAGACAGGAGGUAUUGUUUUAUAUUAGUCAGUGGUCUAACAGGAGGUAUUGUUUUAUAUUAGUCAGGGGUCUAACAGGAGGUAUUGUUUUAUAUUAGUCAGGGGUCUAACAGGAGGUAUUGUUUUAUAUUAGUCAGGGGUCUAACAGGAGGUAUUGUUUUAUAUUAGUCAGGGGUCUAACAGACAGGAGGUAUUGUUUUAUAUUAGUCAGUGGUCUAACAGGAGGUAUUGUUUUAUAUUAGUCAGGGGUCUAACAGGAGGUAUUGUUUUAUAUUGGUCAGUGGUCUGACAGACAGGAGGUAUUGUUUUAUAUUAGUCAGUGGUCUAACAGGAGGUAUUGUUUUAUAUUAGUCAGGGGUCUAACAGGAGGUAUUGUUUUAUAUUAGUCAGUGGUCUAACAGACAGGAGGUAUUGUUUUAUAUUAGUCAGUGGUCUAACAGACAGGAGGUAUUGUUUUAUAUUAGUCAGUGGUCUAACAGGAGGUAUUGUUUUAUAUUAGUCAGUGGUCUAACAGACAGGAGGUAUUGUUUUAUAUUAGUCAGUGGUCUAACAGACAGGAGGUAUUGUUUUAUAUUAGUCAGGGGUCUAACAGGAGGUAUUGUUUUAUAUUAGUCAGGGGUCUAACAGGAGGUAUUGUUUUAUAUUAGUCAGGGGUCUAACAGACAGGAGGUAUUGUUUUAUAUUAGUCAGGGGUCUAACAGACAGGAGGUAUUGUUUUAUAUUAGUCAGGGGUCUAACAGACAGGAGGUAUUGUUUUAUAUUAGUCAGUGGUCUAACAGACAGGAGGUAUUGUUUUAUAUUAGUCAGGGGUCUAACAGGAGGUAUUGUUUUAUAUUAGUCAGGGGUCUAACAGGAGGUAUUGUUUUAUAUUAGUCAGUGGUCUAUCAGACAGGAGGUAUUGUUUUAUAUUAGUCAGGGGUCUAACAGACAGGAGGUAUUGUUUUAUAUUAGUCCGGGGUCUAACAGACAGGAGGUAUUGUUUUAUAUUAGUCAGGGGUCUAACAGACAGGAGGUAUUGUUUUAUAUUAGUCAGGGGUCUAACAGACAGGAGGUAUUGUUUUAUAUUAGUCAGGGGUCUAACAGACAGGAGGUAUUGUUUUAUAUUAGUCAGGGGUCUAACAGACAGGAGGUAUUGUUUUAUAUUAGUCAGGGGUCUAACAGACAGGAGGUAUUGUUUUAUAUUAGUCAGUGGUCUAACAGACAGGAGGUAUUGUUUUAUAUUAGUCAGGGGUCUAACAGACAGGAGGUAUUGUUUUAUAUUAGUCAGGGGUCUAACAGACAGGAGGUAUUGUUUUAUAUUAGUCAGGGGUCUAACAGACAGGAGGUAUUGUUUUAUAUUAGUCAGUGGUCUAACAGGAGGUAUUGUUUUAUAUUAGUCAGUGGUCUAACAGGAGGUAUUGUUUUAUAUUAGUCAGGGGUCUAACAGACAGGAGGUAUUGUUUUAUAUUAGUCAGGGGUCUAACAGACAGGAGGUAUUGUUUUAUAUUAGUCAGGGGUCUAACAGACAGGAGGUAUUGUUUUAUAUUAGUCAGGGGUCUAACAGGAGGUAUUGUUUUAUAUUAGUCAGUGGUCUAACAGACAGGAGGUAUUGUUUUAUAUUAGUCAGUGGUCUAACAGACAGGAGGUAUUGUUUUAUAUUAGUCAGUGGUCUAACAGGAGGUAUUGUUUUAUAUUAGUCAGUGGUCUAACAGGAGGUAUUGUUUUAUAUUAGUCAGGGGUCUAACAGACAGGAGGUAUUGUUUUAUAUUAGUCAGUGGUCUAACAGACAGGAGGUAUUGUUUUAUAUUAGUCAGGGGUCUAACAGACAGGAGGUAUUGUUUUAUAUUAGUCAGUGGUCUAACAGGAGGUAUUGUUUUAUAUUAGUCAGUGGUCUAACAGACAGGAGGUAUUGUUUUAUAUUAGUCAGGGGUCUAACAGACAGGAGGUAUUGUUUUAUAUUAGUCAGUGGUCUAACAGGAGGUAUUGUUUUAUAUUAGUCAGGGGUCUAACAGGAGGUAUUGUUUUAUAUUAGUCAGUGGUCUAACAGGAGGUAUUGUUUUAUAUUAGUCAGGGGUCUAACAGGAGGUAUUGUUUUAUAUUAGUCAGUGGUCUAACAGGAGGUAUUGUUUUAUAUUAGUCAGUGGUCUAACAGACAGGAGGUAUUGUUUUAUAUUAGUCAGGGGUCUAACAGGAGGUAUUGUUUUAUAUUAGUCAGGGGUCUAACAGGAGGUAUUGUUUUAUAUUAGUCAGGGGUCUAACAGACAGGAGGUAUUGUUUUAUAUUAGUCAGGGGUCUAACAGACAGGAGGUAUUGUUUUAUAUUAGUCAGGGGUCUAACAGGAGGUAUUGUUUUAUAUUAGUCAGGGGUCUAACAGACAGGAGGUAUUGUUUUAUAUUAGUCAGGGGUCUAACAGACAGGAGGUAUUGUUUUAUAUUAGUCAGGGGUCUAACAGACAGGAGGUAUUGUUUUAUAUUAGUCAGGGGUCUAACAGACAGGAGGUAUUGUUUUAUAUUAGUCAGGGGUCUAACAAACAGGAGGUAUUGUUUUAUAUUAGUCAGGGGUCUAACAGACAGGAGGUAUUGUUUUAUAUUAGUCAGGGGUCUAACAGGAGGUAUUGUUUUAUAUUAGUCAGGGGUCUAACAGACAGGAGGUAUUGUUUUAUAUUAGUCAGGGGUCUAACAGAGACAGUAUUGCCUUUGCAGGGGUCUUGGGGUGUGUCCUAUUCUGUUCCAUUAGUAUUCCAUCACUGUUACUCCCUUGGUCCCUUGGUUGAACCGUGAUGUCCCAUAACGUGCCCCAUAUGUUUAAUAUCAGAUUAUAUCUGUCUCAAUAAAAUCCAUUCAAAAAGCAGUCACUGAACCACAUCUCUGUAUUCAACCCCAAUAUUAAAAAGACUACUAUGGGUUUGUCCCGAAUGACACUCUAUUCCCUAUAUAGUGCACUACUUUUGACCAAGUGUCCUUAGGGAGUAGGGUGCCGUUUGGGACCACAGCCUAGACUGGUCCGGUUAGCUUCCAGUUGUUUGAUGAGGUUUCCUGAUAAUACAGAGUGAACAAAGUAGAAAUGACCCCCGAGCAGAGAUGAGGGGUACUGUUUGUUACAUUAUACAUUACAAACCACCAGCCACUAAAGGACCAGGGAUCACACACACAAACACACAUGUUGCUUCUCGCUGUCUGGAUCUGGUACGAUUAAUGUCUAGUUUCUCUCUGUCUGGAUCUGGUACGAUAAUGUCUGGUUUCUCUCUGUCUUGAUCUGGUACGAUAAUGUAUCGUUUCUCUGUCUGAAAUGAUGAUGUAUAGUGUCUCGCUGUCUUGAUCUGGUACGAUAAUGUCUAGUUUCUCUCUGUCUGGAUCUGGUACGCUAAUGUCUAGUUUCUCUCUCUCUCUGUCUGAAUCUGGUACGAUAAUGUCUAGUUUCUCUGUCUGGAUCUGGUACGAUAAUGUCUAGUUUCUCUCUCUCUCUGUCUGAAUCUGGUACGAUAAUGUCUGGUUUCUCUGUCUGGAUCUGGUACGAUAAUGUCUAGUUUCUCCCUGUCUGGAUCUGGUACGAUAAUGUCUAGUUUCUCUGUCUGGAUCUGGUACGAUAAUGUCUAGUUUCUCUCUCCCUGUCUGGAUCUGGUACGAUAAUGUCUGGUUUCUCUCUCUCUCUGUCUGGAUCUGGUACGAUAAUGUCUAGUUUCUCUCUGUCUGGAUCUGGUACGAUAAUGUCUAGUUUCUCUGCCUGGAUCUGGUACGAUAAUGUCUAGUUUCUCUGCCUGGAUCUGGUACGAUAAUGUCUAGUUUCUCUGCCUGGAUCUGGUACGAUAAUGUCUAGUUUCUCUGCCUGGAUCUGGUACGAUAAUGUCUAGUUUCUCUGCCUGGAUCUGGUACGAUAAUGUCUAGUUUCUCUGCCUGGAUCUGGUACGAUAAUGUCUAGUUUCUCUCUCUCUGUUUGGAUCUGGUACGAUAAUGUCUAGUUUCUCUCUCUCUGUCUGGAUCUGGUACGAUAAUGUCUAGUUUUUCUCUGUCUGGAUCUGGAACGAUAAUGUCUAGUUUCUCUGUCUGGAUCUGGUACGAUAAUGUCUAGUUUCUCUCUCUCUCUGUCUGGAUCUGGUACGAUAAUGUCUAGUUUCUCUCUCUCUCUCUGUCUGGAUCUGGUACGAUAAUGUCUGGUUUCUCUCUGUCUUGAUCUGGUACGAUAAUGUAUCGUUUCUCUGUCUGAAAUGAUGAUGUAUAGUGUCUCGCUGUCUUGAUCUGGUACGAUAAUGUCUAGUUUCUCUCUCUCUCUGUCUGGAUCUGGUACGAUAAUGUCUAGUUUCUCUGUCUGGAUCUGGUACGAUAAUGUCUAGUUUCUCUCUGUCUGGAUCUGGUACGAUAAUGUCUAGUUUCAGGUUACCCUGAAUGCACAGAGAACGUCCCGGCACUGCUCAGCAGUACAAAAGGUGGUGUGUGUGUGUGUGUGACACCGUGGUGCCCUGUGAAAGACGGACAGAUGUUGGUCUCAUGGUUUCAGGGCAUUAACCUGGACAGAUGUUUGUCUCAUGGUUUCAGGGCAUUAACCUGGACAGGAGGGAAGUGAUUUGUAAAGAAAACAGCAGGAGUCGGUCACAUCAUCUUGUUCCCAUUGGGUUGCAAGGUUUGUUCAGGCAAAAUAACAGUCUGUUUAUCCACAAGUGCAGAGGGCACUUUUGACCCCUGUACUGCAUUCUAAUAGGUAACACUUCUGACCCCUAUACUGCAUUCUAAUAGGUAACACUUCUGACCCCUGUACUGCAUUCUAAUAGGUAACACUUCUGACCCCUGUACUGCAUUCUAAUAGGUAACACUUCUGACCCCUGUACUGCAGUCUAAUAGGUAACACUUCUGACCCCUGUACUGCAGUCUAAUAGGUAACACUUCUGACCCCUAUACUGCAUUCUAAUAGGUAACACUUCUGACCCCUAUACUGCAUUCUAAUAGGUAACACUUCUGACCCCUAUACUGCAUUCUAAUAGGUAACACUUCUGACCCCUAUACUGCAUUCUAAUAGGUAACACUUCUGACCCCUGUACUGCAUUCUAAUAGGUAACACUUCUGACCCCUAUACUGCAUUCUAAUAGGUAACACUUCUGACCCCUGUAGUGCAUUCUAAUAGGUAACACUUCUGACCCCCUGUAGUGCAUUCUAAUAGGUAACACUUCUGACCCCCUGUACUGCAUUCUAAUAGGUAACACUUCUGACCCCCUGUAGUGCAUUCUAAUAGGUAACACUUCUGACCCCCUGUAGUGCAUUCUAAUAGGUAACACUUCUGACCCCUUGUACUGCAUUCUAAUAGGUAACACUUCUGACCCCCUGUACUGCAUUCUAAUAGGUAACACUUCUGACCCCUUGUACUGCAUUCUAAUAGGUAACACUUCUGACCCCUGUAGUGCAUUCUAAUAGGUAACACUUCUGACCCCCCGUACUGCAUUCUAAUAGGUAACACUUCUGACCCCCUGUACUGCAUUCUAAUAGGUAACACUUCUGACCCCUAUACUGCAUUACCCAGAACCCUCUCUGCAUACAUUGACUCAUCGUGGCCGACUGUGAGACUCGUAAGGCCGCUGGGCCAGACGGAAUACCAGGGGUCGUUUUUCAGAGCAUGUGCAGACCAGCUGGAAAGUGUCUUCGCUUACAUUUUCAACAUCUCCUUGUUCCAGUCUGUAAUCCCAACAUGUUUCAAGCAGACCACCAUUUUCCCUGUUCCGAACAACUCCAAGGCAACCUGCCUAAAUGACCGUCGUCCUGUAGCUUCCUCAUCUGUCACCGUGAAAGGCUUUGAAAGUCAUGUCACACAUCAACACCAUUAUCCCAGUCGUGUAGUAAGCUUGACUGUAAACUUCUUUAUCUGUAACACUGUGUUGUUUUUUGUCGUACUGCUUUGCUUUAUUCUUGACCAGGUCGCAGUUGUAAAUGAGAACUAGUUCUCAACUGAACUACCUGGUUAAAUAAAAUAAAAAAUAGUGUAUCUCUGGCCCUCUCUGUGUGGCCUUAUCUCAUGUCCAAUAUAUGAAAUCAUUAAAUAAUAUUUUCAGCGAAAAAUGAUUUUACCAAAGCUGUACGACAUUAUCCUAAAUAUAAACCAUCAAGUUGGUGAAUGACAUCGGUGUUUUAAUAAGAUGGUUCCAGCAUGAAAUAUCUUGUUCUUUUCCAGACUUCUUUGACAACGUCGGUGUUUGUUGUGGUGUCAGACUGGUGGCAGUCGGGACAUGCUAUAGUUGGACGAGUUCAUUAAGAAAUCUAAAUGUUCAUUUACAUCUUUUCAUUAAUUAGGCGCUUUUCUCUUGAACUAUAUUGGUCUAUCUACUAGAAAUGUAUGGACAAUAUGGACACAGAUUAGUAUUUGUUUUUAAAAGGAAAACGUUAUGAAAACAUUUGAUGUUAUUGAAAUAUAAAUUAAGAAAGUUGCGAUAGAUUAUCACAUUUUCUUGUAACUUUGGUAAACUACUGGUAGUUUUGCAACCCUAUGCCUGGUACAUAAAACCCCUGACCAUCGGACCUCCUGAGAUACAGAAGGACAUGUCUAGAUUAGGAAGGUUUCUCCCAGGGGACAGAGGACAUGUCUAGAUUAGGAAGGUUUCUCCCAGGGGACAGAGGACAUGUCUAGAUUAGGAAGGUUUCUCCCAGGGGACAGAAGGACAUGUCUAGGAUAGGAAGGUUUCUCCCAGGGGACAGAAGGACAUGUCUAGAUUAGGAAGGUUUCUCCCAGGGGACAGAAGGACAUGUCUAGAUUAGGAAGGUUUCUCCCAGGGGACAGAAGGACAUGUCUAGAUUAGGAAGGUUUCUCCUAGGGGACAGAAGGACAUGUCUAGAUUAGGAAGGUUUCUCCCAGGGGACAGAAGGACAUGUCUAGAUUAGGAAGGUUUCUCCCAGGGGACAGAAGGACAUGUCUAGAUUAGGAAGGUUUCUCCCAGGGGACAGAGGACAUGUCUAGAUUAGGAAGGUUUCUCCCAGGGGACAGAAAGGACAUGUCUAGAUUAGGAAGGUUUCUCCCAGGGGACAGAAGGACAUGUCUAGAUUAGGAAGGUUUCUCCCAGGGGACAGAGGACAUGUCUAGAUUAGGAAGGUUUCUCCCAGGGGACAGAGGACAUGUCUAGAUUAGGAAGGUUUCUCCCAGGGGACAGAAGGACAUGUCUAGAUUAGGUAGGUUUCUCCCAGGGGACAGAAGGACAUGUCUAGGAUAGGAAGGUUUCUCCCAGGGGACAGAAGGACAUGUCUAGAUUAGGAAGGUUUCUCCCAGGGGACAGAGGACAUGUCUAGGAUAGGAAGGUUUCUCCCAGGGGACAGAGGACAUGUCUAGAUUAGGAAGGUUUCUCCCAGGGGACAGAAGGACAUGUCUAGAUUAGGUAGGUUUCUCCCAGGGGACAGAGGACAUGUCUAGAUUAGGAAGGUUUCUCCCAGGGGACAGAGGACAUGUCUAGAUUAGGAAGGUUUCUCCCAGGGGACAGAGGACAUGUCUAGAUUAGGAAGGUUUCUCCCAGGGGACAGAAGGACAUGUCUAGAUUAGGAAGGUUUCUCCCAGGGGACAGAAGGAAUGUCUAGGAUAGGAAGGUUUCUCCCAGGGGACAGAAGGACAUGUCUAGAUUAGGAAGGUUUCUCCCAGGGGACAGAGGACAUGUCUAGAUUAGGAAGGUUUCUCCCAGGGGACAGAAGGACAUGUCUAGAUUAGGAAGGUUUCUCCCAGGGGACAGAAGGAAUGUCUAGGAUAGGAAGGUUUCUCCCACUGGACAGAAGGACAUGUCUAGAUUAGGAAGGUUUCUCCCAGGGGACAGAAGGAAUGUCUAGGAUAGGAAGGUUUCUCCCAGGGGACAGAAGGAAUGUCUAGAUUAGGAAGGUUUCUCCCAGGGGACAGAAGGACAUGUCUAGAUUAGGAAGGUUUCUCCCAGGGGACAGAAGGACAUGUCUAGAUUAGGAAGGUUUCUCCCAGGGGACAGAAGGACAUGUCUAGAUUAGGAAGGUUUCUCCCAGGGGACAGAAGGACAUGUCUAGGAUAGGAAGGUUUCUCCCAGGGGACAUGUCUAGAUUAGGAAGGUUUCUCCCAGGGGACAGAAGGACAUGUCUAGGAUAGGAAGGUUUCUCCCAGGGGACAGAAGGACAUGUCUAGAUUAGGAAGGUUUCUCCCAGGGGACAGAAGGACAUGUCUAGAUUAGGAAGGUUUCUCCCAGGGGACAGAAGGACAUGUCUAGAUUAGGAAGGUUUCUCCCAGGGGACAGAGGACAUGUCUAGAUUAGGAAGGUUUCUCCCAGGGGACAGAGGACAUGUCUAGAUUAGGAAGGUUUCUCCCAGGGGACAGAAGGACAUGUCUAGAUUAGGAAGGUUUCUCCCAGGGGACAGAAGGACAUGUCUAGAUUAGGAAGGUUUCUCCCAGGGGACAGAGGACAUGUCUAGAUUAGGAAGGUACCUCCCAGGGGACAGAAGGACAUGUCUAGAUUAGGAAGGUUUCUCCCAGGGGACAGAAGGACAUGUCUAGGAUAGGAAGGUUUCUCCCAGGGGACAUGUCUAGAUUAGGAAGGUUUCUCCCAGGGGACAGAAGGACAUGUCUAGAUUAGGAAGGUUUCUCCCAGGGGACAGAGGACAUGUCUAGAUUAGGAAGGUACCUCCCAGGGGACAGAAGGACAUGUCUAGAUUAGGAAGGUUUCUCCCAGGGGACAGAAGGACAUGUCUAGGAUAGGAAGGUUUCUCCCAGGGGACAUAAGGACAUGUCUAGGAUAGGAAGGUUUCUCCCAGGGGACAGAAGGAAUGUCUAGGAUAGGAAGGUUUCUCCCAGGGGACAGAAGGAAUGUCUAGGAUAGGAAGGUUUCUCCCAGGGGACAUGUCUAGAUUAGGAAGGUUUCUCCCAGGGGACAGAAGGACAUGUCUAGAUUAGGAAGGUUUCUCCCAGGGGACAGAGGACAUGUCUAGAUUAGGAAGGUUUCUCCCAGGGGACAGAAAGGACAUGUCUAGAUUAGGAAGGUUUCUCCCAGGGGACAGAAGGACAUGUCUAGAUUAGGAAGGUUUCUCCCAGGGGACAGAGGACAUGUCUAGAUUAGGAAGGUUUCUCCCAGGGGACAGAGGACAUGUCUAGAUUAGGAAGGUUUCUCCCAGGGGACAGAAGGACAUGUCUAGAUUAGGUAGGUUUCUCCCAGGGGACAGAAGGACAUGUCUAGGAUAGGAAGGUUUCUCCCAGGGGACAGAAGGACAUGUCUAGAUUAGGAAGGUUUCUCCCAGGGGACAGAGGACAUGUCUAGGAUAGGAAGGUUUCUCCCAGGGGACAGAGGACAUGUCUAGAUUAGGAAGGUUUCUCCCAGGGGACAGAAGGACAUGUCUAGAUUAGGUAGGUUUCUCCCAGGGGACAGAGGACAUGUCUAGAUUAGGAAGGUUUCUCCCAGGGGACAGAGGACAUGUCUAGAUUAGGAAGGUUUCUCCCAGGGGACAGAGGACAUGUCUAGAUUAGGAAGGUUUCUCCCAGGGGACAGAAGGACAUGUCUAGAUUAGGAAGGUUUCUCCCAGGGGACAGAAGGAAUGUCUAGGAUAGGAAGGUUUCUCCCAGGGGACAGAAGGACAUGUCUAGAUUAGGAAGGUUUCUCCCAGGGGACAGAGGACAUGUCUAGAUUAGGAAGGUUUCUCCCAGGGGACAGAAGGACAUGUCUAGAUUAGGAAGGUUUCUCCCAGGGGACAGAAGGAAUGUCUAGGAUAGGAAGGUUUCUCCCACUGGACAGAAGGACAUGUCUAGAUUAGGAAGGUUUCUCCCAGGGGACAGAAGGAAUGUCUAGGAUAGGAAGGUUUCUCCCAGGGGACAGAAGGAAUGUCUAGAUUAGGAAGGUUUCUCCCAGGGGACAGAAGGACAUGUCUAGAUUAGGAAGGUUUCUCCCAGGGGACAGAAGGACAUGUCUAGAUUAGGAAGGUUUCUCCCAGGGGACAGAAGGACAUGUCUAGAUUAGGAAGGUUUCUCCCAGGGGACAGAAGGACAUGUCUAGGAUAGGAAGGUUUCUCCCAGGGGACAUGUCUAGAUUAGGAAGGUUUCUCCCAGGGGACAGAAGGACAUGUCUAGGAUAGGAAGGUUUCUCCCAGGGGACAGAAGGACAUGUCUAGAUUAGGAAGGUUUCUCCCAGGGGACAGAAGGACAUGUCUAGAUUAGGAAGGUUUCUCCCAGGGGACAGAAGGACAUGUCUAGAUUAGGAAGGUUUCUCCCAGGGGACAGAGGACAUGUCUAGAUUAGGAAGGUUUCUCCCAGGGGACAGAGGACAUGUCUAGAUUAGGAAGGUUUCUCCCAGGGGACAGAAGGACAUGUCUAGAUUAGGAAGGUUUCUCCCAGGGGACAGAAGGACAUGUCUAGAUUAGGAAGGUUUCUCCCAGGGGACAGAGGACAUGUCUAGAUUAGGAAGGUACCUCCCAGGGGACAGAAGGACAUGUCUAGAUUAGGAAGGUUUCUCCCAGGGGACAGAAGGACAUGUCUAGGAUAGGAAGGUUUCUCCCAGGGGACAUGUCUAGAUUAGGAAGGUUUCUCCCAGGGGACAGAAGGACAUGUCUAGAUUAGGAAGGUUUCUCCCAGGGGACAGAGGACAUGUCUAGAUUAGGAAGGUACCUCCCAGGGGACAGAAGGACAUGUCUAGAUUAGGAAGGUUUCUCCCAGGGGACAGAAGGACAUGUCUAGGAUAGGAAGGUUUCUCCCAGGGGACAUAAGGACAUGUCUAGGAUAGGAAGGUUUCUCCCAGGGGACAGAAGGAAUGUCUAGGAUAGGAAGGUUUCUCCCAGGGGACAGAAGGAAUGUCUAGGAUAGGAAGGUUUCUCCCAGGGGACAUGUCUAGAUUAGGAAGGUUUCUCCCAGGGGACAGAAGGACAUGUCUAGAUUAGGAAGGUUUCUCCCAGGGGACAGAGGACAUGUCUAGAUUAGGAAGGUUUCUCCCAGGGGACAGAAGGAAUGUCUAGGAUAGGAAGGUUUCUCCCAGGGGACAGAAGGACAUGUCUAGAUUAGGAAGGUUUCUCCCAGGGGACAGAAGGAAUGUCUAGGAUAGGAAGGUUUCUCCCAGGGGACAGAAGGAAUGUCUAGGAUAGGAAGGUUUCUCCCAGGGGACAGAAGGACAUGUCUAGGAUAGGAAGGUUUCUCCCAGGGGACAGAGGACAUGUCUAGGAUAGGAAGGUUUCUCCCAGGGGACAGAAGGACAUGUCUAGAUUAGGAAGGUUUCUCCCAGGGGACAGAGGACAUGUCUAGAUUAGGAAGGUUUCUCCCAGGGGACAGAGGACAUGUCUAGAUUAGGAAGGUUUCUCCCAGGGGACAGAGGACAUGUCUAGGAUAGGAAGGUUUCUCCCAGGGGACAGAAGGACAUGUCUAGAUUAGGAAGGUUUCUCCCAGGGGACAGAGGACAUGUCUAGGAUAGGUUUCUCCCAGGGGACAGAGGACAUGUCUAGGAUAGGUUUCUCCCAGGGGACAGAAGGAAUGUCUAAGUAUAUGAAUAUUCACCCUACUUACUCAGCCAUGUCCCACACUCUGUUUCAGAGUUUAUAUUAUUACAUUGUUCUGCCUCUUGGAUUAUUUUCUGGAUAUAUCAGAUCAGUUAUCUUUUAUCACCGUGUAUACGUAAACACCGACACACACUCACUUCCCUGAUCACUACUGUCCUCUGGUGUGUCAGCCAGCCCUCAUAAAGCAUGUGUCAACAUGAGUCUCAUUACAACCACACCUGUCCAUUUAUGGUCCUGGAGACACUGGUUCUGUGGAUGGUUUGGAGGUCAAGGAAAUUAGACAUGAAUUUCACAGCAUUCCUCCUCUCCCCUCCCCCUCACCUCCUCUCUCCUUCCCCUCCCCAUUCACGUCCCCCUUCCCCUCCCCUCCUCUCCCCUCCCCUCCUCUCUCCUUCCCCUCCCCUCCUCUCUCCUUCCCCUCCCCCUCACCUCCUCUCCUUUAGUGGGAGAAGGUGUCAGUGUUGGCUGGUAAAUAAGUCUGUUCUGGUGGCAGGAUAGUCAUCCUCUCUCCUUCCCCUUCUCCUCUCUCCUUCCCUUCCUCCUCUCUCCUUCUGCUCCUCUCUCCUUCCGCUCCUCCUCUCUCCUUCCCCCCUCCUCUCUCCUAAUCCCUCUCUCCUUCCCCUCUCCUCUCUCCUAAUCCCUCUCUCCUUCCCCUCUCCUCUCUCCUAAUCCCUCUCUCCUUCCCCUCUCCUCCCUCCCCUUCCUCUCCUCUAGUGGGAGAAGGUGUCAGAGUGUUAUCUGGUAAAUAAGUCUGUUUGGGUGGCAGGAUAGUCAGCCUCCUCUCUCCUUCCCUCUCCUCCCUUCCUCUCCUCCCCUCUCCUCCCUCCUAAUCCCUCUCUCCUUCCCCUCCUCUCUCCUUCCCCUCCUCCUCUCUCCUUCCCUCUCCCCUCCCCUUCCUCUCCUCCCCUCUCCUCCCUCCUAAUCCCUCUCUCCUUCCCCUCUCCUCCCUCCCCUUCCUCUCCUCUAGUGGGAGAAGGUGUCAGAGUGUUGGUUGGUAAAUAAGUCUGUUUGGGUGGCAGGAUAGUCAGCCUCCUCUCUCCUUCCCCUCCCCUCCUCUCUCCUUCCCCUCUCCUCCCUCCUUUCUCCUAAUCCCUCUCUCCUUCCCCUCUCCUCCCUCCCCUUCCUCUCCUCUAGUGGGAGAAGGUGUCAGAGUGUUGGUUGGUAAAUAAGUCUGUUUGGGUGGCAGGAUAGUCAGCCUCCUCUCUCCUUCCCCUCCCCUCCUCUCUCCUUCCCCUCUCCUCCCUCCUCUCUCCUAAUCCCUCUCUCCUUCCCCUCUCCUCCCUCCCCUUCCUCUCCUCUAGUGGGAGAAGGUGUCAGAGUGUUAUCUGGUAAAUAAGUCUGUUUGGGUGGCAGGAUAGUCAGCCUCCUCUCUCCUUCCCUCUCCUCCCUUCCUCUCCUCCCCUCUCCUCCCUCCCCUUCCUCCCCUCUAGUGGGAGAAGGUGUCAGAGUGUUGGUUGGUAAAUAAGUCUGUUUGGGUGGCAGGAUAGUCAGCCUCCUCUCUCCUUCCCUCUCCUCCCUUCCUCUCCUCCCCUCUCCUCCCUCCCCUUCCUCUCCUCUAGUUGGAGAAGGUGUCAGAGUGUUAUCUGGUAAAUAAGUCUGUUUGGGUGGCAGGAUGGUGAUCCACCUCCAGUACUUAGUGAAGGGUAGCGUGGGGCUUGUGGACAGGUGCUGGGUAGAGAGGCUGGCAGGAUGGUGAUCCACCUCCAGUACUUAGUGAAGGGUAGCGUGGGGCUUGUGGACAGGUGCUGGGUAGAGAGGCUGGCAGGAUGGUGAUCCACCUCCAGUACUUAGUGAAGGGUAGCGUGGGGCUUGUGGACAGGUGCUGGGUAGAGAGGCUGGCAGGAUGGUGAUCCACCUCCAGUACUUAGUGAAGGGAAGCAUGGGGCUUGUGGACAGGUGCUGGGUAGAGAGGGUGUCAGGCUGUCAGAGUUAAGAACUUCCGACCACAGAGAUUUAACAUCUGGCUACAAUUAAAAUCUGUCAAGAAGAGGAUACUCUUUCUCUCAUUUUCUCCUUACUGCUGCUCGCUCGCUCUCUCUCUCACUGCUCUUUCUGCUGCCUCUCUCUCCUUACCGCUGCUGCUCGCUCGCUCUCUCUCUCUCACUGCUCUUUCUGCUGCCUCUCUCUCCUUACCGCUGCUGCUCGCUCGCUCUCUCUCUCUCACUGCUCUUUCUGCUGCCUCUCUCUCCUUACUGCCGCUCUCUCUCUCUCACUGCUCUUUCUGCUGCCUCUCUCUCCUUACUGCCGCUCGCUCUCUCUCACUGCUCUUUCUGCUGCCUCUCUCCUUACUGCCGCUCGCUCUCUCUCUCUCUUACUGCUGCCUCUCCUUACUGCUGCUCGCUCGCUCUCUCUCACUGCUCUUUCUGCUGCCUCUCUCUCCUUACUGCCGCUCGCUCGCUCGCUCUCUCUCACUGCUCUUUCUGCUGCCUCUCUCUCCUUACUGCCGCUCUCUCUCUCUCACUGCUCUUUCUGCUGCCUCUCUCUCCUUACUGCCGCUCGCUCUCUCUCACUGCUCUUUCUGCUGCCUCUCUCCUUACUGCCGCUCGCUCUCUCUCACUGCUCUUUCUGCUGCCUCUCUCUCCUUACUGCCGCUCGCUCUCUCUCUCUCUUACUGCUGCCUCUCCUUACUGCUGCUCGCUCUCUCUCUCUCACUGCUCUUUCUGCUGCCUCUCUCUCCUUACCGCUGCUGCUCGCUCUCUCUCUCUCUUACUGCUGCCUCUCCUUACUGCCGCUCGCUCUCUCUCCUCUCUCUCUCUCUCAUGUGACGUUUGACUGCAGUGUGUCGUUUGACUGCUGUGUGUCGUUGUGUUUCUGCG